rnacentral:rRNA from 1 species
GACAGAGGGUGCAAACGUUGUUCGGAAUUACUGGGCGUAAAGCGCGUGUAGGCGGUUAUGCAAGUCGGGUGUGAAAGCCCGGAGCUCAACUCCGGAAGUGCAUUCGAUACUGCGUAGCUAGAGUACUGGAGAGGAUGGUGGAACUCUCGGUGUAGAGGUGAAAUUCGUAGAUAUUCGCAAGAACACCAGUGGCGAAGGCGGCUCACUGGCCCGGUACUGACGCUGAGGUGCGAAAGCGUGGGGAGCAAACAGG